UUCCAAGCAAUACGCUCUUAUUCGCCAACGGAACCCACCAUAGUUUUUGUUUCAUCCCGCCGUCAAACUCGAUUAACCGCUUUGGAUCUGAUUACUACAAGGAGAUACUAGACUAUUUACGCUUAUGCUUGUGGUAUUCUGCCGGUGCCGUCUGUGGUCCCGGUGAUGUAAAAUACCUUAACAAGCUCAAACGAUACAUUAUCUGUAACUGCGAAGAAUCAGAUAAUAAUGAAUUAUAUGAAUACGUACAAUUUGUUAAACGCAGUGUGUAAGCCAAAAGAUGCGAAUCAAAUCUUUUGUGCUUACAUGAUUUACUAAACGCUGCUGCUGAAUUGUUGACUUCUUCGUUGCUUUAAGAUGUCGCGGAAACAAUGCGUUGUAGACAUAGUUAUUAUUAUGGGCUUACGGACUCGAUGAUCGAGAAUUUGACGUUAAUGUUAAAGAAUGUUUGGAGGCUUUACCGCAACGUUUAUUGGAGCAUAAGCUUGGCUGGCUGUUAGUUCUUGGCCAUGCCUUGAGUAAGAAAAUGGGAUAUCUCAUCAUAUAACGACAAACAAAGAAUUUCGCUGAAUGGCAAAAUUUUGUGGACACUGUGAAAGUUAUGGGUAAAGUUCUGAAUACAGUAAUUUUUUGUGAAACUCAU